rnacentral:misc_RNA from 1 species
GCGCUUUUUGGAGUUUCCUCUUUAACAGGGGCAGCAGAAACUUCGUUUGUGGUGUCUCACAAGAAGGCUUCACUCCUAAAACUCAAGUCCGGCACCGAACGGGUCUCCGUUUCCAUUGACGUCUAUAAUCAUGGAUCUGUUGCUAUAUAUGAUGUAAAUCUUACUGAUGAUAGCUGGUCCACAGAAAUAUUUGAUUUCGUGGCUGGAAACACGUCCAAUUCAUGGGAAAAACUUGAUGCUGGCUCUCAUGUUUCACACACUUUUAAGUUGGAAUCCAAAGUGCAAACAACUUACUACAGUGCUCCUGCUGUCAUAACUUAUCGUAUUCCUACAAAAUCAAAACUACAGGUAGCAUAUUCCACCCCUGU